CGUGUAGGCGGGUCGGUAAGUCAGAUGUGAAAGCCCUGGGCUCAACCCGGGAAGUGCAUUUGAAACUGCCAGCCUGGAGUAUGGGAGAGGAGAGUGGAAUUCCGAGUGUAGAGGUGAAAUUCGUAGAUAUUCGGAGGAACACCCGUGGCGAAGGCGGCUCUCUGGACCAAUACUGACGCCGAGACGCGAAAGCGUGGGGAGCAAACAGGAUUAGAUACCCUGGUAGUCC
rnacentral:rRNA from 1 species